ensembl:lncRNA
CUGAGCACCACACCUGCUCUAUAUAUGUCCAGUUUACAUGAAUCAAGAUAAAGACUUAAAUACUUUCAAUUAUAACAUUAGUGUUGUUGAUUCCACACUGGAAUGGCUGAGGAAAAAACCUUGGGUCAUGUUUCAACUGAACUUAUCCGCUAGUCGAUGUUGUAUGGACCAAUGAUGGGGGGGCCUCCUCACACAGCAUCUAACGUUUGAGUGGGCAGCAUUUAUCCAAGGAGGGCUCUCAGGUCUGGCUGCCACCCUUCUUGGUUUCUAUUAUCUCACUGAAAGACUGAAGAAGCCCAGUGAUGCACAGGAGAAUGGAAUAACGACACCAGGAGAAGAAACCACUCUGUUGGCCUGACGGGCAGCUUCUGCUUACAUCAGUAACAUUAACAGUUGUUAAUAUAAAUGUUGUUAUUAUUAUGUUGUUACUUUUCAUUAUUUGAGAAUAUAACAAAUGCUUUAUAAAGGGAUUGCAGCAAAUAUAAAUAGGGG